UACGUAGGUGGCAAGCGUUGUCCGGAUUUACUGGGCGUAAAGAGCGCGCAGGCGGUCGUGCAAGUCGCGUGUGAAAGCCCCCGGCUCAACUGGGGAGGGUCACGCGAUACUGUUCGACUCGAAGGCAGGAGAGGGAAGUGGAAUUCCCGGUGUAGUGGUGAAAUGCGUAGAUAUCUGGAGGAACACCGGUGGCGAAGGCGGCAUCCUGGACCGGCAUUGACGCUGAGGCGCGAAAGCCAGGGGAGCAAACGGG
rnacentral:rRNA from 1 species